UAGGGAAUCUUCCACAAUGGACGCAAGUCUGAUGGAGCAACGCCGCGUGAGUGAAGAAGGCUUUCGGGUCGUAAAACUCUGUUGUUGGAGAAGAAUGGUCGGCAGAGUAACUGUUGUCGGCGUGACGGUAUCCAACCAGAAAGCCACGGCUAACUACGUGCCAGCAGCCGCGGUAAUACGUAGGUGGCAAGCGUUAUCCGGAUUUAUUGGGCGUAAAGCGAGCGCAGGCGGUUUUUUAAGUCUGAUGUGAAAGCCCUCGGCUUAACCGAGGAAGCGCAUCGGAAACUGGGAAACUUGAGUGCAGAAGAGGACAGUGGAACUCCAUGUGUAGCGGUGAAAUGCGUAGAUAUAUGGAAGAACACCAGCGGCGAAGGCGGCUGUCUGGUCUGUAACUGACGCUGAGGCUCGAAAGCAUGGGUAGCGAACAGGAUUAGAUACCCUGGUAGUCCAUGCCGUAAACGAUGAAUGCUAGGUGUUGGAGGGUUUCCGCCCUUGCAGUGCUGCAGCUAACGCAUUAAGCAUUCCGCCUGGGGAGUACGACCGCAAGGUUGAAAC
rnacentral:rRNA from 1 species